rnacentral:rRNA from 1 species
AUACGUAGGUGACAAGCGUUAUCCGGAUUUACUGGGCGUAAAGGGCGUGUAGGCGGUCUUGCAAGUCAGAAGUGAAAUUCCUGAGCUCAACUCGGGCGCUGCUUCUGAAACUGCAGGACUUGAGUGCUGGAGGGGAUAGCGGAAUUCCUAGUGGAGCGGUAAAAUGCGCAGAUAUUAGGAAGAACACCGGUGGCGAAGGCGGCUAUCUGGACAGUAACUGACGCUGAGGCGCGAAAGCGUGGGGAGCAAACAGGAUUAGAUACCCUGGUAGUCCACGCGGUAAACGAUGAAUGCUAGGUGUUGCGGGUAUCGACCCCUGCAGUGCCGGAGUAAACACAAUAAGCAUUCCGCCUGGGGAGUACGGCCGCAAGGUUGAAACUUAAAGGAAUUGACGGGG